UACGAAGGGGGCGAGCGUUGUUCGGAGUUACUGGGCGUAAAGGGCGCGUAGGCGGCGAUCCAAGUUAGGCGUGAAAGCCCCGGGCUUAACCUGGGAAUUGCGCUUAAGACUGGAUUGCUUGAGUGCGGGAGAGGUGAGUGGAAUUCCCAGUGUAGAGGUGAAAUUCGUAGAUAUUGGGAAGAACACCAGUGGCGAAGGCGGCUCACUGGCCCGCAACUGACGCUGAGGCGCGAAAGCGUGGGGAGCAAACAGG
rnacentral:ncRNA from 3 species